GGCUGUGUGAUUCCUGGUAGGCUUUGGCAGUGAGCAGUGCUCAGCUUCCCGGAGAGGAUCCUCUUUCCUGCUCCUCUCUGCAGGCAGAUGCCAGAGCUGGAAGUUCCAAAACUGCUACGUACUGAACAAAAAGGAAACGGUGGCUGAGUUGCACAAGUGAACCAGGACCACGCAAAAUAACAACGCAGAGGGGAGUAAUUCAAACAGCUCUGGGGUUUUCUUCUUCCAGAUUCUGAGGACAAACCUGCUGAAACUCAUCUCAACUCCUCAUGACCAGCUGAGCAAGAGAGAUGGGAUUUGAUGCUAUCCAAGGUGUAAUUCCACAGUUCAUGUCUUUUGCUAGUGCCAGCUUAAUCAGUUUCUGCCCACUCCCAGCCAUCCAUUUCCAGCUCAGCAGCAAUGCAGUGCUCUUCCCUGACUGUGUGGAAAACCAGAUGACUGAAAAUAACUCGGUCAAGAAAAGAAACGUUUCAUUUUUUGUUCUUUGUAUUAGAAUCAUUUGAAUGAAUUUCAUGGCCCACAGGCAGUCGUAUUGGUGCUGCUGAAGGUGACAAAAAGUGCAGCAUCAGAGGCAGCAGUGAGCACUGGAGGGUGUCCCAGUGCUGUGUGAUCUUGCUGUCAACAAAAAUCUGCUCUGGGACCAUAUCCUGAAUGAAGGGCUUUGACUAGCCACAGGAUUAUUUAUUGAACUGCUGCUUUUCAUUUAUUUUAUUAAGGAAGAUUAACAUCUCCUUGUUAGGGCAGGUUUAUUUUUUUUUACUUGAGGAGAUAAACCAUCUCUGUGAGAAGUCAGUCAGCUUUGUGGACAACCAUGAAUGUCAAUAAAGUCUUGGCAAACACAGUAGGUAUUUAUUCAGCCUUGCAAAUUAAAAACAUUUUUCCUGCUUGUUUAGUGAAGGGAACAAAAAAAGACAAAUUACAGAGCGGAUGAGCUCUCUUGAUAGUUGGAAUUCAUUAAGCUGGUGGUGAAAACGCUGGGGGAUUGAUGGUGCAGAAAAAGAAAAGAUGAAGCAGCUUUUCCCCAAUAGCUGUGGUUUAAGUUCAAGUUGAAAAUGACCAAAAAAAAAAAAAAAUCCCUUAAAGACAUCUGUAACUGACUUCACAAUCCCAGUUUCUAUCUGGGUAGACAGUUCUUUCUCACUGCAGUUAGUAUUAAUUGGUUUUUCAGUUGACAGAUAAUUUCUCAGUGGCUCCUCCAUCUCCAUCAUGCCAUGGGAUGUCUGCAGCAGCUCAUAAAUGAGAUCCAUGGCCAGACAUUAAGUGAGAAGUUCACACAGUCCCUUCCCAUGGUACAGACAGAGCCUUUCUGCAGACUUGUCACUCUGUCAUCUUCCCUUGGCUCCACAUUUUAUUAUUUAAAAAAAAAGGGAUUUAAAAAGUUGCAGCAAGUUGAGCAGUUUGUCAGAUGUGAUGUUCUCACAGGCCAUUGUCUGCAGAUUCCAGGCUGGCUCUGCCUUUCAGAUGGAUCGUAAAGCUGUCAUGAGUGCAGCUCUAACAAAAUCCAUUUUCACAGCUCCUGUUAUGGCAAGGCAUGGAAAGGAAGCAGUAGGACUCAUUUUUUAAUGAAUUUCCUGUACAGAAUCAUGGAAGUCUUUCCAAGUCGCACCCAGUGCAUGUUCUCUGUGAUUGUCCCUGAUUAAUGGGAUAAAGUGUCCACAGUUGUCACUUGGAGUCACAGAUAGUUCUCAUGUCAUUCCAAGUGCAGGAAUUCUGCAGGAGUUCAUCCUUGGAAGAGAGAGGGUUCCCUAGUAAGUGUUUAAAUGCAGCUAAACUACCUGUAAAUCACUAAAAUUAUUCAACAGCAAAACAAAGCCUUCAUAAACUUUGUUCUUGCAGUGCUUUAAUUGCAGACAAAACUUUACUCAUUCAAGUGAUCCCAUCAAUGUCAAAUAAAAACAUGAAUUAUGAAGCUUGUAAGAUUAGAGCUUAAAGUCACUGACAUGUCAUUGCCAUAAUUUUCUCUGGAGGAUUACAGAACAUUUAAUUUGUAACUGCAGAAACCUAAGUGUAAUCAGAUGCUCUUCCAUCUACAGUUUUUAUCUAAGUCAUUGAAUUGUGAGUUUGUUCUUUCCUGUUUCCCAAGUUCUUACUUGCAAAUGUGAAGACAUUAACUCCUCUGUUCUUCUUCUUCCCAGUUCACCAAGGAAAUUGCCCUCAGCUCUUCUGAUCAUUAAAUCUGGGAAGGAUGGAACAGUCCAAGAUUUGAAAAUGUUCUAAAACUCCCAGCACCUAAUUAGAAGGAGGCAUCUUGGAGCAGCACAAUAGCUCUCUAUCUGCAGUUCAUUUGGUUUUCCAAUUUGGAAACGACAGUUUACAGCCCUGGUGUGAGCACGUUUCUCAUUAGCCUAUUCUAGAAACACACAGAGUUAUUACAAGUUUUGAAAGAUGCUUUCUUCAAAAGUGCAAAUGAUACUAAAUGGCAGAAUUUGCUCUCUGGAUAGCCACCAUCCUAAGUGGCAGAGGCAGAGCCAUGCAGCUGGACCUCAGCUUCAAAUCCAUGGAUGUCAUGGAUGCAACUGCAUGGAAAAGAAGCUGCAGCAGGAAUUAGCUUUGUCCAGGGGAGAAAAUUGUGAAGUGCCCCUGCUGUCCUGGUUUCACAGAUGGAUCUCAGGUUUCUUGGGCUUUUCUCAUGAAGAUUUUCUUGGGGAGGAGUGUGUUAGCCAUGCUGCUGACAGAUGCCCUUCUGAGAACUGUCCACACUGGCUUGAUUUCCCUCUCCAGCAGUUGGAUUCCUAGCCUGAGCUGGUUGGAUUUGUUUUCCUUGGGGUAAAUGAAGAGAGAGGUGCAUGUCAGCAGGUGAUGAAACUUGAGGAACAGGUGUAAUUAUUUUUUGAACAUGGUUUUCUGCCCCCUGAAGAGUAGAUGGAGAAUAUUUGCCUGUCCUCAGGACUGUACAGAUGGGUUCAUCUUGGAUGGUGGCUUAGGGUCUGGAAUGUCAGUUCUACAAGGACUGGCUGAGGGUUGAAAAGGAGACUCAGGGAAGACCUUAUUUACCUGAAGACCAACAUUUCCCUGAGAGAAGGGGAGGGGAGAAGAUUGUGGUGAGGUGGGAAUCAGCCUCUUCUCCCAGGUAACAAGUGACAGGACAGUGGCAGACAUCCUCAGGUUUCACCAGCAGAGGUUCAGGUUGGAUUUUAGGAAAAAUUUCCUCAGUGAGAGAGUGGUUAAGCAUUGAAACAGGCUGAGGGCAGUGGUGGAGUCACCAUCCCUGGAAGUGUUCAAAAAACAAGAGGGCCUGGCACUUCAUGAUAUGGUUUAGUGAGAGUGGUGGUAUUAAGUCAAAGGUUGGACUCAAUUAAUCUCCAACCUCAGUAGUUCUGUGGUUCUAAUGAGCUAAAAUCAUCUUUCAGCAGGGCUUUCAGAAGCAGGUAUGGAUCACACCUGAGUGUGACAAACUGCAGGAGGGAAAAAACAAAGAUGCUUCACUCUUCUUGAAAACACUGCAGCAAGGCAAAAUUCUGCAUGGCUGAAGGAAAGAAAAAGAGUUGGUUUUUCCUGCACUUUAAAGCAGCUUUAUUGUAGCUGUAGUGUUUUGUGGAAGAUUCCCAGGCAGCUGCAGGCUCAGGGCAGAGCCCAGGGACACGGGCACAGCUCCUGCUGCUUCCUGCCUGCUCUGCUCCACACAGCCACUUUCUGGGCAGAAAAGCUGCACAGUAAAUCCAGUGCUGAUGUGGCCUGGCGUGGUGACAGCUCUUCCAGUAACUGCAGGAACUGCCUGCUUGUGGAGGCCCAGCCUGCUCUGAUGGGUUGUUUUCCUUAAAACUGUUGUUCUGCACCAGAUGGGGCAUGUGGUAUUGUUGUGCCUCCCUCUGCCAUGCAGACACUUUGUGGUGCCUUCUGUGCCACUGCCCAGUGUGGUUUUGUUCCUUCCUGAGAGGCUGUGAUGUACCUGAGUGCUUCCCAGAACCUGUCCCUGAGAGUGGGGCUGUGCAAACACUCAAGACUUGCUCGACAUCAUUCUGCAGAUGUGCUUGAUGUUUGUUCUGCCAGCUGAGAUGAGGAGCUGCAGAGAGGUUAUGAAAAAAAAAAAAAAAAAUCUGUUUGAAAGGGAGUAAAUUGUCUAGAACACACUUCAGUAGCAGAUUUCCAGGAAAGAGCCCUCUGUCAGAUUUCUUGGAAGCUGUGCUGGCUCCAGGUGCUGAGUGCCAGGUCUAACUAGACCAUAAUCAACUCAGUCCUUACCGUUAUGUUUGGAGACACACUUUUCCCCUAAUUUGCAAAUCCCAUCUCAGGCAGAGCUAGCUGACAGGUGGGCAAGUGUCCAGGCUCUGUGCAUGACCUUUGGGAUGAAUAUUCAGCUUUCAGUCACUGAUGUGCAACUUCUUUCACACGCUGAUCUUUGUGCUGCUGCUGUUAAAAUGAAGAUUUGGUACCAUCUUACAUGUUUUGCUGUCGCAAGAAUGACUUUUCAGCAGUGCUGCCCUUGCCUGGUGUGUCUGGAUGUAGUCAUGCUGUGGGCAGAGCUCAGCAGACAGAAUGUGUUAACAGAAGACAGCAGCACAGGCAGGAUGAAGGUCCUUCAUUCCUUGUUAAAGCCUUGUACAUGUUGUUCAAGCUUGACUAACAAAAUUCCUCUGAGUGACACUGCUGCAAGCAAUUCUCUUGCUGUUGGUAGCACUGUAAUAGAAAACAGAAGUGAGCAUUUGAGUGACUCAAACCAAAAUCAAGGGUAAGAAAAAGAAAAAGGCAUCAACUGUUUAACAGGAAAAAUAAAAACCCGACGUGGCUAGGUAUUCUUCUGUGGCAUUUCCAAUUUAUUGUUACAGGAAUA